UACAGAGGUCUCAAGCGUUGUUCGGAUUCAUUGGGCGUAAAGGGUGCGUAGGCGGCGCGGUAAGUCGGGUGUGAAAUCUCGGAGCUUAACUCCGAAACUGCAUUCGAUACUGCCGUGCUUGAGGACUGGAGAGGAGACUGGAAUUUACGGUGUAGCGGUGAAAUGCGUAGAUAUCGUAAGGAAGACCAGUGGCGAAGGCGGGUCGUCUGGGCCGAAAUUGACGCUGAGGAGCGAAAGCGUGGGGAGCGAACAGG
rnacentral:rRNA from 1 species